rnacentral:rRNA from 1 species
GACGAACGCUGGCGGUGUGCUUCACACAUGCAAGUCGAACGAGGUAGCAAUACCUAGUGGCGGACGGGUGAGUAACGCGUGGGAAUCUGCCCUGGGGUGGGGGAUAACUAGCCGAAAGGUUAGCUAAUACCGCAUAUGCCGUGAGGUAAAAGGAGUAAUCCGCCCGAGGAUGAGCCUGCGUCCGAUUAGCUAGUUGGUAGGGUAAAAGCCUACCAAGGCUACGAUCGGUAGCUGGUCUGAGAGGAUGAUCAGCCACAAUGGGACUGAGACACGGCCCAUACUCCUACGGGAGGCAGCAGUGGGGAAUUUUACGCAAUGGGGGGAAACCCUGACGUAGCGACACCGCGUGAGCGAAGAAGCCCUUUGGGGUGUAAAGGCUCUGUCAGCAGGAACGAAAAUAAAUAUAGACGGUACCUGCAGAGGAAGCAUCGGCUAACUACGUGCCAGCAGCCGCGGUAA